rnacentral:rRNA from 1 species
AACGAACGCUGGCGGCAUGCCUAACACAUGCAAGUCGAACGAGACCUUCGGGUCUAGUGGCGCACGGGUGCGUAACGCGUGGGAACCUGCCCUUAGGUUCGGAAUAACUCCCCGAAAGGGGUGCUAAUACCGGAUAAUGUCUUCGGACCAAAGAUUUAUCGCCUUUGGAUGGGCCCGCGUUGGAUUAGCUAGUUGGUAGGGUAAAAGCCUACCAAGGCGACGAUCCAUAGCUGGUCUGAGAGGAUGAUCAGCCACACUGGGACUGAGACACGGCCCAGACUCCUACGGGAGGCAGCAGUGGGGAAUAUUGGACAAUGGGCGAAAGCCUGAUCCAGCAAUGCCGCGCGAGUGAUGAAGGCCUUAGGGUUGUAAAGCUCUUUUACCCGGGAUGAUAAUGACAGUACCGGGAGAAUAAGCGCCGGCUAACUCCGUG